GAGUCCCCCUCGGGCCGACCCGGACCACAGCCACUUCCGGUGUCGCCUCCGCGCCUCCCCAUGUCGCAGGCGCCGUGGUACUGUCCUCCUGCGGCUGCGCGGAGGCGGGACGCCGGCCGCGCUUUCCCAUCACCGCGCACGCAGGAAGAGGCGGGUCCCAGAGGGAAGACUGACCGGGAACUUCCAGGACCCCCGUUUAGGUGUCCGGGGCAGCCGCCUGUUCAAAAACAAAACAGGACACGACGUAAAAGUCAAGCCAGAUUUUAGAUAAAUUACAUUAUUUGACGAUCAUU
rnacentral:lncRNA from 1 species